GGCCUCGUCGUCUAGGCAGGUCUAGGACACCGGGUUUUCAACCCGGCAACACGGGUUCAAAUCCCGUCGAGGCCA
rnacentral:tRNA from 1 species